rnacentral:tRNA from 1 species
GCCGCCGUGGUGAAAUUGGCAGACACGACAGACUUAAGAUCUGUUGCCCGCAAGGGCGUGUCGGUUCGACUCCGACCGGCGGCA